rnacentral:rRNA from 1 species
AGUGAACGCUGGCGGUAGGCCUAACACAUGCAAGUCGAACGGCAGCACAGUAAGAGCUUGCUCUUACGGGUGGCGAGUGGCGUACGUGUGACGUAUAUAUCGGACUCUACUUUUUCGUGGGGGAUCACGUAGGUAAACUUACUCUAAUAUCGCAUACCCCCUACCGUUGUAAGCAUUGGAUCUUCGCACCUUGUGCGAUUGAAUGAGCCGAUGUUGGAGUAGCUAGUUGGCGGGGUAAAGGCCCACCCAGGCGACGAUCCGUAGCUGGUCUGAGAGGAUGAUAGGCCGCACUGGAACUGGGACACGGACAAGAGUACUAAGAGAGGCAGCAGUGGGGAAUAGUGGGCAAUGGGCGCAAGCCUGAUACAGCCAGACCGCGUGGGUGGAGGAGGCGUUCGGGUUGUAAAGACCUUUUGUGGGGAAAGAAAAGCAGCAGGUUAAGACCCAGCUGUUGUGACGGUAACGAAAGAAUAAGCACCGGCUAACUACGUG